AGUCUUAUAGUUUAAUUAAAAUAUUAAAUUGCAAAUUUAAAGAUAAAAAAUAUUUUAAGGCUU
rnacentral:tRNA from 1 species